rnacentral:rRNA from 1 species
UACGAAGGGGGCUAGCGUUGCUCGGAAUCACUGGGCGUAAAGCGCACGUAGGCGGAUUGUUAAGUCAGGGGUGAAAUCCUGGAGCUCAACUCCAGAACUGCCUUUGAUACUGGCGAUCUUGAGUCCGGGAGAGGUGAGUGGAACUGCGAGUGUAGAGGUGAAAUUCGUAGAUAUCGCAAGAACACCAGUGGCGAAGGCGGCUCACUGGCCCGGUACUGACGCUGAGGUGCGAA